rnacentral:rRNA from 1 species
UACGUAGGGACCAAGCGUUGUCCGGAAUCAUUGGGCGUAAAGAGCGUGUAGGCGGCUUGUUAAGUCUUGCGUGAAAUCUCGGGGCUCAACCCCGAGCGGUCGUGAGAAACUGGCAGGCUAGAGUGCGGGAGAGGAGAGUGGAAUUCCUGGUGUAGCGGUGGAAUGCGCAGAUAUCAGGAAGAACACCAAUGGCGAAGGCAGCUCGCUGGGACGUGACUGACGCUGAGACGCGAAAGCGUGGGGAGCAAACAGG